UUAAUGAUUGGGUGGUCAUGAGGGUGGUGCCGCCAAUGACAACAACAGUACCGAAAUUUACUGUUCAAAAUAGAUAAUUUAUACAUAUAAUUGUUAGGUGAGUCAUUUUCAUAAAUAUUCAAUAAUUUUGAGUCAAUUUAGAAAAAUAGCCUAUAAUUAGGAUGGGUACCCAUUUGAAAUUGGAAAAUUGGAAUAGGAAAAAGCUAAAGAUAAAAUUCUUAAUUUCCAUUAUUUAACAGCUAAUUUCUAAAUCCCUAACAAAAUAACUUGCCUUCUGCACUCCGACAACCACCGGCCAGCAGCCCAACACCAUCAUCGUUCACCAGUCGGCAGUCACCAACGGUCCACCACACACCCACUAGUCACUGUCGCUUCCCUCUUCUCUGUUUAAUCUUCCCACUGUUCCCUCAUUCAGAAAUCUGAAGCCUGGCCUUCCCACUGUUCGACGAUAUUCCUCAACUAGCAAAAGUAGAAGUUGAUUCAACUGCAGACAUACUUGGUUGGUGGCCUGUUAAUUCUCAAAAGUUCCCUACACUUGCAAAGAUGGCUCGCGAUCAGCUCGCAAUGCCAAUAUCAAUUUCUGCGCCAUGUUUAGAUAUUAGUGUCAUGACCACGAAUCCAACCAACUUGAACCCCGAGGGCAUGGAAGCUUUAGUAUGCAGUCAAAAUUAAUUGGUAACUCCCAAAGAAAGUGAUGAAGAAGUUCAUGAACCCACACAAACUAUGGAUAAAAGGAAAAGGAAGAUAAUUAUCAACAUGACAACAACCAAGUAUGUCUACAUCCAUGAGAAACAAAGGCUCUCUUAGGUACGAGUCAAACUCUGAAUUCAAUGAGGCCACCUCAUUAACGUUGUUUGGAGAUGCAAAUUUACUGAAGUAGUUCACAAUAUAAUAUUUUGCAGUCUCUCUUGUCAAAGAUUUGGAAUCAUCCAAGACUGAUGUAGAUGCAAUUAGAUUUUGGAUUUUCUUUAUUAAACAUCUUUUCAAGUGGUCUUUCAAGCGUGAGGUUCCAUAGUAGUUUGGUUCUGGAUAAUCUUUGAGGCAAUAUUUAUAUUUGGUUUUUCUUUCUUCGUUUACUUUAAACCUAACAAAGUAAUUUACAAGAAUUAGAUAUGCACUUUGUUAGGUUUGAAGUAAACAAAAGCCAAAUGUAAAUAUUGCCUCAAGGAUUAUCCAACACUAUGUGGCUGUGGAACCUCACGCUUGAAGACCACUUGAAGAGAUGUUAAGUAAAGAAAAUCCAAAACCUAACUGCAUCUAUUUCAGUCUUGGAUGAUUCCAAAUAUUUGACAAGUGAGACCGCAAAAGAUUAUAUUGUGAACCACUUCAGUAAAUUUGCAUCUCCAAGCAACGUUAAUGAGAUGACCUCAUCGAAUUCAGAGCUUGACUUGUACUAAAGAGAGUUUUUGCUUCCCAUAGUUGCAGACAUGGUUGGUGGCGUGUUAAUUCUCAAAAGUUCCCUACACUUGCAAAGAUGGCUCGCAAUGCCAGUAUUAGUUUCUACACCACGUUUAGAUAUUAGUGUCAUGACCACGAAUCCAGCCGACUUGAACCCCGAGACCAUGAAGCUUUGUUAUGCAGUCAAAAUUGGUUGGUAACUCCAAAAGAAAGUGAUGAAAAAUUCAAGAACCCACACAAACUACGGAUAAAAGAAAAAGGAAGAUGGACCAGGAGGAUAAUUAUCCGAUGAACCUGUUGGUGAAAAAGCAGAGAUCAAGGAAGCUUUGGUUUGCAAUCAAAAUAGGAUAGAAAUGUCACAAAAAGGUAAGUCCAUAUACUAAUUUAUUUAGUUCAAUUUUUCGAAAGUUAUUUUUAUUUUUAUUUCUUUCACAUCUUGAGUUAAAUCUAAAAGGGAUGGAAACAGUGAAAGGUUGCAAAAAUUUGUAUUAUGGAGACACUAGUAGUGGAGACAAAUCCAAAGCUUCCAACAAAAUGGUAGGAAAUUGAAUGUUGAUUUUUAUCAUAUUUUUAUUUAUUUAAAGAAUAGAUGUUAUUAUUUCACUUGAAAUAAAAAAAAGUGGGUACUCUUUCAAUACAGAA